CUGAUUCCCUGGCCUUGACCUGGUUUCUGACAGCACCUACAAAUUAUAGAAGCCUGAGGAACUGGUUGACAAAACCGCUCAGAAUCCCCUAAGCGGGAAAUACUCUGAGUCAGCAGAUUCAACUGCUCCUGCUGCAGCUGGAGCAUCUCCCUUGCUUCCUUCAGUUCUGAGGCCUGAGAAGAACUAGCCUCCACCUGGCCACUGCCCUGAACCACACACUGAGUACCUACAACAGAAUGGAUGGAAGAAUCAUGACCUUUCAUACUUCCAGGUAAACACUCUCGUUCCCACCUAAUUGCCUCACCCCUAACCUCCAGCAAGGUAGCAGUACGCUGCCAAUGCAGCAACUGCUUCAACUCGUGACGAAGUGACCCAUCAAGCACACACUCCACAAACUGAUCACAUAACAAAACCUCUGCAUUUGGGACAC